GGGCCGGUAGCUCAAUCGGAAGAGCAGGAGACUUUUAAUCUCUGUUUGCAUCGGGAUCGAAACCCGGGCGGCCCA
rnacentral:tRNA from 1 species